GAGUCGAGAGUCUUCGGGACUCGGCAGACGGCUCGGUAACACGCGGAUAAUCUGCCCUUGGGUGGGGAAUAAUCUCGGGAAACUGAGCAUAAUACCCCAUAGGCNUGAGAUGCUGGAACGCCCUCAGGCUAAAAGCUCCGGCGCCCAAGGAUGAGUCUGCGGCCUAUCAGCUUGUAGUUGGUGUAAAUGACCAACUAGGCGACGACGGGUACGGGCAUUGGGAGAUGUAGCCCGGAGAUGGACUCUGAGACACGAGUCCAGGCCCUACGGGGCGCAGCAGUCGCGAAAACUUCACAAUAUGGGAAACCGCGAUGAGGGGAUUCCAAGUGCUUGCGUUUUGCGUAAGCUGUUCUCCUGCCUAAAAAGCAGGGGGAGUAAGGGCUGGGUAAGACGGGUGCCAGCCGCCGCGGUAAUACCCGCAGCCCAAGUGGUGGUCGAUAUUAUUGAGCUUAAAGCGUCCGUAGCCUGUCUGGUAAAUUCUUGGGUAAAUCGUGCAGCUUAACUGUCCGAAUUCCGGGGAGACUGCCAGACUUGGGACCGGGAGAGGUUGGAGGUACUCCUGGGGUAGGGGUAAAAUCCCGUAAUCCUGGGAGGACCAUCAGUGGCGAAGGCGUCCAACUGGAACGGAUCCGACGGUCAGGGACGAAGCCCUGGGUCGCGAACUGGAUUAGAUACCCAGGUAGUCCAGGGUGUAAACGCUGCAGACUUGGUGUCGGAGGUCCUACGAGGGCGUCCGGUGCCGGAGAGAAAUUGUUAAGUCUGCCGCUUGGGGAGUACGUCCGCAAGGAUGAAACUUAA
rnacentral:rRNA from 1 species